UACGGAGGGAGCUAGCGUUGUUCGGAAUUACUGGGCGUAAAGCGCGCGUAGGCGGCUUUGUAAGUUAGAGGUGAAAGCCCGGAGCUUAACUCCGAAACUGCAUUCGAUACUGCCGUGCUUGAGGACUGGAGAGGAGACUGGAAUUUACGGUGUAGCGGUGAAAUGCGUAGAUAUCGUAAGGAAGACCAGUGGCGAAGGCGGGUCUCUGGACAGUUCCUGACGCUGAGGCACGAAGGCCAGGGGGAGCAAACGGGG
rnacentral:rRNA from 1 species